rnacentral:rRNA from 1 species
AUUGAACGCUGGCGGCAGGCCUAACACAUGCAAGUCGAAUGGUAACAGGAAACAGCUUGCUGUUUCGCUGACGAGUGGCGGACGGGUGAGUAAUGUCUGGGAAACUGCCUGAUGGAGGGGGAUAACUACUGGAAACGGUAGCUAAUACCGCAUAACGUCGCAAGACCAAAGAGGGGGACCUUCGGGCCUCUUGCCAUCAGAUGUGCCCAGAUGGGAUUAGCUAGUAGGUGGGGUAACGGCUCACCUAGGCGACGAUCCCUAGCUGGUCUGAGAGGAUGACCAGCCACACUGGAACUGAGACACGGUCCAGACUCCUACGGGAGGCAGCAGUGGGGAAUAUUGCACAAUGGGCGCAAGCCUGAUGCAGCCAUGCCGCGUGUAUGAAGAAGGCCUUCGGGUUGUAAAGUACUUUCAGCGGGGAGGAAGGGAGUAAAGUUAAUACCU